CCCAGACCUGAACAACUGGUAAAUAUUUCAGAUACCAAUAUCAACUUCUUAGCCAGGCAACAGGGAAAGGAGCAAAAUAGGAUUUCUCAAGCAACCAGAUGUUCCACAAAGCACUGAGAGGAGAAUCUCAAGAGAAACUCUCAAAUAUCUCUGCAGAAAUCACAGAGACUUUUGUCAUGCUAUUGCACAGGGACAAGCUAUCAGAGCAGAUGUCCCACCAGAAGGCUUCAAGCUGCACCAGGGAAGGUUCAGGCUGGACGUUAGGAAAUACUACUUCUCUGAAAGGGUGGUCAGGCACUGGAAUGGGCUGCCCAGAGGUGGUGGAGUCACUGAGCCUGGAGGUGUUCAAGGAACGUUUGGAUGUUGUGUUGAGGGACAUGGUUUAGUGAGAACUGUUGGUGAUGGGUGAAUGGUUGGACUGGAUGAUCCUGUGGGUCUUUUCCAACCUUAGCAAUUCUAUGAUUCUAAGAGGAAAAGACGGCAAUGAUUCCAGAUGAACUGCUGUACUUCUGUCUUUUCAAAUCCCAGUCAUCCAGCAGGAAGACCCACUCUGCUGUUAGAAAAAAAUGCCAGUUGAUGAUGCUACCUACUUCUGUCCAGCUUCAAGUACGUACCACAGUAGAAAAUCCAAAACAGACACAGAGGGGUAGAUCGUACUCUGUUUGGAGUAGGGGGGAAGGAAGAAAUUUGAAAUACUGCAGUUUCUAUGCAAUGUUAUUUUCUCCUCACUUUGGG
rnacentral:lncRNA from 1 species